ensembl:lncRNA
AGCCAUGAGAGCAAGCCAGUAAGCAGCAUUCCUCCAUGGCCUCUGCAUCAGCUCUUGUCUCCCAGUUCCUGCCCUGUGUGAGUUCCUGUCCUGACUCCCUUCAAUGAUGAACAGGCUGGCAACAUGAUUCAGCAGGUAAGGCACUUGCCACCAAGCCUGACCUGAAUAUAUUACCUGGAACCCACAGAGUGAAUACAGAGAACUGAUUCCUUCAAGGCUACCCAAACUUGAUGCUGUCUUUCUGUUGUCCAUCUCGGGGGAAGAUAUGGGUUCUUCUCACUCACUUCUGAUAACAAUAAUCUAUACAGAGUCUAUAAGGGAUAUCUUCAAGGCACUCCAUCCGAUUUGUUGAACAUGACCUCCCCAGCCUGGGUCCUCGCAGCCUUCCUUCAAGAAAGUGGGCUUUUCCAGGUGCUCUCCCACCACUGCCUUCAAGAAUGCUUCCAAGAAUUCCUUCCACUUCACCCUUCUCUACCCCCAAGCACACCAGAUGUUACACAUGCUAGUGUCCUAUCUUUCUGCUUGUCUUAAGAGGAAUCUUAAAAGAAAUAUGAAGGCUAUAUCUGGCUAUCUUCAAAUCCUUCCAAAGAGAUGGCUUUCAGUCACUGCCUCUUUACCUUGACUGCUCUUCCUGAGUUCAAGCUUUUUUUUAAAAUGGUAAAAUGAAUCUCCACGUUUUGCUUUGUUUUGCUUACCAUUUUCAUGACAUAUUAUGAUGUGUUUAAAAUAGCCAUGCCAUUGUGAACAUACUGUAUUGUGUAUCAUAAUUGUGCAUGACUUUAUUUAUGAGCUAAAUAAAUGAAUGAAAAAAAAAAGAAGGGACUUUGAGAGCCCAUCCCAUGGGAAGGGAUGCUCUCAUCCAGGACACAUGGGGGAGCGCCUAGGCCUGGCCCAGGAUGAAGUUGUGGAAUUUGGG